rnacentral:rRNA from 1 species
UACGUAGGGUGCGAGCGUUAAUCGGAAUUACUGGGCGUAAAGCGUGCGCAGGCGGUUCGUUGUGUCUGAUGUGAAAGCCCCGGGCUCAACCUGGGAAUGGCAUUGGAAACUGGCGAGCUAGAGUGUGGCAGAGGGGGGUGGAAUUCCGCGUGUAGCAGUGAAAUGCGUAGAGAUGCGGAGGAACACCGAUGGCGAAGGCAGGUCUCUGGGCCACUACUGACGCUGAGAAGCGAAAGCAUGGGGAGCGAACAGG